UACGUAGGGGGCGAGCGUUGUCCGGAAUUAUUGGGCGUAAAGAGCUUGUAGGCGGUUUGUCGCGUCUGCUGUGAAAUCUCAAGGCUCAACCUUGAGCUUGCAGUGGGUACGGGCAGACUAGAGUGUGGGUAGGGGAGACUGGAAUUCCUGGUGUAGCGGUGAAAUGCGCAGAAUAUCAGGAGGGAACACCGAGUGGCGAAGGCAGGUCUCUGG
rnacentral:rRNA from 1 species